GACGAACGCUGGCGGCGUGCUUAACACAUGCAAGUCGAACGGAAAGGCCCUGCUUUUGUGGGGUGCUCGAGUGGCGAACGGGUGAGUAACACGUGAGUAACCUGCCCUUGACUUUGGGAUAACUUCAGGAAACUGGGGCUAAUACCGGAUAGGAGCUCCUGCUGCAUGGUGGGGGUUGGAAAGUUUCGGCGGUUGGGGAUGGACUCGCGGCUUAUCAGCUUGUUGGUGGGGUAGUGGCUUACCAAGGCUUUGACGGGUAGCCGGCCUGAGAGGGUGACCGGCCACAUUGGGACUGAGAUACGGCCCAGACUCCUACGGGAGGCAGCAGUGGGGAAUAUUGCACAAUGGGCGGAAGCCUGAUGCAGCAACGCCGCGUGCGGGAUGACGGCCUUCGGGUUGUAAACCGCUUUCGCCUGUGACGAAGCGUGAGUGACGGUAAUGGGUAAAGAAGCACCGGCUAACUACGUGCCAGCAGCCGCGGUGAUACGUAGGGUGCGAGCGUUGUCCGGAUUUAUUGGGCGUAAAGGGCUCGUAGGUGGUUGAUCGCGUCGGAAGUGUAAUCUUGGGGCUUAACCCUGAGCGUGCUUUCGAUACGGGUUGACUUGAGGAAGGUAGGGGAGAAUGGAAUUCCUGGUGGAGCGGUGGAAUGCGCAGAUAUCAGGAGGAACACCAGUGGCGAAGGCGGUUCUCUGGGCCUUUCCUGACGCUGAGGGGCGAAAGCGUGGGGAGCGAACAGGCUUAGAUACCCUGGUAGUCCACGCUGUAAACGGUGGGUACUAGGUGUGGGGUCCAUUCCACGGGUUCCGUGCCGUAGCUAACGCUUUAAGUACCCCGCCUGGGGAGUACGGCCGCAAGGCUAAAACUCAAAGGAAUUGACGGGGCCCCGCACAAGCGGCGGAGCAUGCGGAUUAAUUCGAUGCAACGCGUAGAACCUUACCUGGGUUUGACAUGGAUCGGGAGUGCUCAGAGAUGGGUGUGCCUCUUUUGGGGUCGGUUCACAGGUGGUGCAUGGCUGUCGUCAGCUCGUGUCGUGAGAUGUUGGGUUAAGUCCCGCAACGAGCGCAACCCUUGUUCACUGUUGCCAGCACGUUAUGGUGGGGACUCAGUGGAGACCGCCGGGGUCAACUCGGAGGAAGGUGGGGAUGACGUCAAGUCAUCAUGCCCCUUAUGUCCAGGGCUUCACGCAUGCUACAAUGGCUGGUACAGAGAGUGGCGAGCCUGUGAGGGUGAGCGAAUCUCGGAAAGCCGGUCUCAGUUCGGAUUGGGGUCUGCAACUCGACCUCAUGAAGUCGGAGUCGCUAGUAAUCGCAGAUCAGCAACGCUGCGGUGAAUACGUUCCCGGGGCU
rnacentral:rRNA from 1 species